rnacentral:snRNA from 12 species
ACCACUACUAGUCAGUUAGAUAAGGUGAAGAUCAAGACAAGGCUUAUUCCUUGCAUGCUAUCUCCCCUGCAGGUAAGUGCGCUGGCCCCUGUGACUCCCCAAAUGUGGUAAACUCCACUGCAUAAUUUGUGGUAGUGGGAGACUGCAUUUGCACUCUCCCC